GGCCUCCGCACUCUUCUCCGCUCCCACCUUCCAAGGCCUCCGCCCCCUCAAACCCACUGACUCCCCAUCCCUCAAGUUCCCCAAGACCGCCUCCAUAUCCAUCGCUGUCAAACCGGCCCGCCGUGUCUCCGUCCGCGCUGAUCUCAGCCCUCCCCUUGUCAUCAGCCUCAGCACAGGGCUUUCUCUCUUCCUCGGCCGCUUCGUCUUCUUCAACUUCCAACGUGAGAACGUCGCAAAGCAGGGCCUGCCGAAGCAGAAUGGCGUGAGCCACUACGAAGCCGGCGAUGUCCGUGCCAAGGAGUAUAUAGGAAUCCUCAAGUCCAAUGACCCUGUAGGGUUUAACAUCGUCGAUGUGCUUGCAUGGGGAUCUAUUGGCCACAUCGUCGCCUACUAUAUUCUUGCUACGUCUAGCAAUGGCUAUGACCCCAAUUUCUUUGGUUGAGGGAUAGUUAUAUAUUUGUACAUUGAUGAAGAUGUGGGAGCCUAGUUAAUGUAUU
rnacentral:misc_RNA from 1 species